rnacentral:rRNA from 1 species
GAUGAACGCUGGCGGCGUGCCUAAUACAUGCAAGUAGAACGCUGAAGGAGGAGCUUGCUCUUCUGGAUGAGUUGCGAACGGGUGAGUAACGCGUAGGUAACCUGCCUGGUAGCGGGGGAUAACUAUUGGAAACGAUAGCUAAUACCGCAUGACAACAGUUAUUGCAUGAUAACUGUUUAAAAGGGGCAACUGCUCCACUACCAGAUGGACCUGCGUUGUAUUAGCUAGUUGGUGAGGUAACGGCUCACCAAGGCGACGAUACAUAGCCGACCUGAGAGGGUGAUCGGCCACACUGGGACUGAGACACGGCCAGACUCCUACGGGAGGCAGCAGUAGGGAAUCUUCGGCAAUGGACGGAAGUCUGACCGAGCAACGCCGCGUGAGUGAAGAAGGUUUUCGGAUCGUAAAGCUCUGUUGUAAGAGAAGAACGAGUGUGAGAGUGGAAAGUUCACACUGUGACGGUAGCUUACCAGAAAGGGACGGCUAACUACGUG